CAAAAGGUGACAAUUAAUGUGUCUUUUGACGUCGACAGACAGUUACAUGGAUUACGUUCAGAUUGAUGCAAUACUAUAUAAACCUGUAUUUACAGUGAGGAUUGUAAUAGCCAUUUGAAGCCUACACGAAGACAAAAUUUUUGUUGUUUUUAGAUCUAGUAUGACUAUGAUCAAAGCAUUAGUUCUUUUGUUGUGUGUCGCUGUUGCCUUUGGAUUCAAUAAUGGUUACUAUGGUGACGACGAUCGCUUCGAUUUAGAUGAUGACUAUCGUGUUCUUCGUCUUCGCCUCGGGGGAAGCGGACACAGUGGUGCCAGGUACAUUAGACCAAAUGUUUACCCUAAAUAUGUACACAGAGUUGUAAGCCGACCAUCAAUUCUUAUACACGGUGGAUACUGAAAACCUGACGGCAGAAAAGGAUAGGCGAAAGACCAAAGAACAUCUCAUGGAAAGCUAGUUCUUCUAAAGUGCUACAGUGACAGUUCGGAGCAGUUGUCUCCAUUUAAAUGUUGUUGUUUAAUAUGAUUAAACAUAUAUAUUUUUAGUA